AUUUUUUUGCUUCAUUUUUUUGCUUCACUUUUUUGCUUCACUUUUUUGCUUCACUUUUUUUAUUUUUAUUUUUUUUUUCUCACUUAAGGAAAUACUACAAACUUGUCACAUUUGCUUAAUGAUACGCUACAAAUAUAAUUUUAAGUUUUGUUUAGUCACUAAAAACAAACAACAUUUAACUUGAAUUAAAUAAUAUUUUUUUUUUUUUUUUUUUUUUUUUUUUGAAUUAUUUGAAUUAUUUGAAUUAUUUGAGUAUUGACAUAUCGUAAAAGCUUUUUUCAAAAAAAAUAGAAACGUUUAAUUUUUUUUUUUUCUGUUGUUGUUGUUUUAAGUAAGAAAAAAAAAAUUUGUUAAUGGUUUUUAACUAUUUUUCACAUUUAUUUUAAUAUUUUCUAUUUUUUAUUUUCUAUUUUUUAUUUUCUAUUUUCUAUUUUCUGUUUUCUAUUUUCUACUUUCUACUUUCUAUUUUUAAUUAAAACUUUUUUAAUUAUUAGUUUUUGUUUGCUACUUACGUUUAAUUUUUAAUUUUAUAUUUUUAAUUUUUCACAAUUCUAAUUUUAAUUUGCUUCCAUCUGACAUUUGUUCUACGUUCAUCAAUUUUGUUUGAUACUCCUGUAAUACUAUGCACUUUAUCGAUGAUACUUCUUACACAUCUUUGUUAGUUUUGUUGUUUUAUUAUAUUAUUUAUUAUUUUUUUAAUUUGAUAUUUAAUAAAAAUAAACUAAAAAUGGAAAAUAAAGAAGAAAAGGGAUUAUCUUUUCACGAAUAUAAGAGGCGAUUAAAAAAACUAACCGAAGAAAUAAAAAAAGAAGGAAAAAAAAAGACUAUUCAUAAAGAUAAACAAAACAAAAAUUUAUUAAGACUGCAAGAAGAACUUAAUAAAUUAAAUUCUUUGUACAACAACAAAGGUAAUAAAACUGAUAACCAGAGAGAAAAAAAUGAACAGAAAAAAAAAAAUGAACAGAUUGAAAAAAAUGAACAGAUAGAAAAAAAUGAACAGAAAAAAAAAAAUGAGCAGAUAGAAAAAAAUGAACAGAUUGAAAAAAAUGAACAGAAAAAAAAAAAUGAACAGAUAGAAAAAAAUGAACAGAUAGAAAAAAAUGAACAGAUUGAAAAAAAUGAACAGAUUGAAAAAAAUAAUAAAAAAUAUGUAAAUGAGAAAUCUUGUGAUAAUAUAACUACAGGAAAUUUAUAUACAUUUAGUAAAGUUUCAAGAAAAAUAAAGCAAAAUAGAAAAAAAAUGCAGAAAGCAUUGGAAGAAGAAGAAGAAGAAAAAAAGAAACAACCAAAAAGUAAAAUAUCAGAAGAAGAAUUUAAUACAUUAUUAAAUAUAUUAAAAACAAAAAAUAAAACAAUUUAUUCUAUAGCACCAGAUGGAAAUUGUUUAUACGAAUCUAUUAUACAUCAACUUAAAGUCAGAAUAAAAGAUUACAAAUAUUCUGUGGAUGAUUUUUUAAAAAUUAUAAAUGAACAAAACUUUAAAUUAAAUAAUAUUGAUUUUAAAAAUUAUGAAAAUAUAAACAAUAUAAACUUAUCAUUAUUUCAGAGUAUCAACCCUUAUGAUCUAAAUUCAGAAAUAUUAAGAUUUGCUACAGCAAUAUAUAUGUUGCAAAAUAAAGAAUUAUUUAUUCAUUAUGUUUACGAUGAGGAAAACAGUACGAAGAAUAAUCAUGAAAUAUAUUUGAAGUACUGUCAAGAUAUUACAAACGGAGUUUACGGGAGUGAAAUUGAAAUAACAGCCUUGUCGAACAUAUUGAAAACAAAAAUUACUGUCUAUGACAUAAACAUGAAUAUAUCAUAUGUAUGAAAAAAAAAANNNNNNNNNNAUUUGUUGAUUUGAACUCUUCUUUUCCAGGAUUGUUUAUUUCUUUAUUUCUUAUUUUAUUAUGGACAUUAAGUCCGUUUUCCAUAUUUCACUAAAAUUAAAUCAAAACAAGACAAAAAAAAAAUAUAUAUAUAUAUAUAUAUAUAUAUAUAUAUAUAUAAAUACAUCACAUUUAAAAAUAUAAUAAUUAUAAAAAUGUUAAUUUUGUAAAAAAGAAAAUAAAAUUUACAUAUACUGCA
ensembl:lncRNA